UUUUUAAAAGCUGCAAGUCCUCAAACAGGUCAUGUUUUUAUUUAGUUUCUAAAAACUAGUUUUCUGAUUUCUUAAAAACCAAGAAUCUGGUUAUCCCUACUAAAACUAGUUUUUGGAUGACUAAUUACGUGUUACCAAGAAAAGAAUUACUAACAAAUACCCCUACUUUAUCCGAACUGUUGGUUGUGUGUGCCUUCUUCUCCAUUUGCUUUUUUCCCUAAAGUUUCUCCGUCCUGGCGGCUGAGGGCUGCUGCUUCGUCCCUGGUGGCGGCUGAGGGCUGCUGCUUCGUCCCUGAUGGCGCCUGAUUGCCUGGGCGCGAUCCGCCCGUGCUUCCCAUAGCGUACUCCGUCCCUGGCGCCCCCAGUGAGGUCCGUCCGUGGCGCUCCGCCUCCCGUCGUCUUCCGUCACCACGCUCUGGUCGUAUCCCCGCCGUAGCGUCGUCCAGGUAAUCCACUCCAGGCUCUUUUCUUACUUGGCUAUAGAGCCCAAGAUGCACCGCCUGCUUUGCUGAUCCGUUUCCUCUGCAGUGCUGCCCUGCAGACCGCACAUCUGUCCACCUGCUGUGUGGUUUGGUUCCCUCCAUGGAUUCUACCAAUCCGAACCAUAAAGAUGACGAGUUCCCAUAGAAUUCGACCGCGAACGGGACAAAUUUUGGUUCCAAUAUGUACAACCAGCUGAAGAAACCGGUUAUAUUAUGGCAAUUGAGACCUUAGAUUUAAGUACUAUUGUAAUCCGUAUGGUUCUUGCUAUUAAUUUCUAGGCAUAUGAAACAAAUACCGAUGAGCGUGCAAUUCCUAUAUAUUAAAGCUAUGUAGCUAGACGCACAGCCACAUAGGCCACGUCGUUCAAAUUUUUGUAAGCCAUCCGAUACAAGAUCGUUGGUUACCAGGCGCGGGAGCAAAGGUAGCCAACCACACGACGGGACUCUUCCAGAUGGAGACGAAACACCACAUGGCGGGGGAAGGAAAAGAGCGAUCAGAUCUCAGACGCCGUCGUCCGUCUCCGCCAAGCUGCAUCGCCUCAAACGCUUUGUCCCGGCCAUCACGCCGGCCAUGGCCGCCAUGUCGAAGAAGGCGACUCUCCAUCCCUUCCGAGUUCCGAGUUCAUGCUCCCCUCCGCCCCUGGCAUGUAAGUUUUCGCCAAACCUAUCCGCCAUAUCCCUUCGCUCCCUCCUCCUUCCAAUGUGGACUGACCAGGUCCGUUCGUUUGCCUCAGCAUGCCACGUCCCGCGGACCGUACUAUCGCCUCCACAGCCGUGGUCGCUCGGCCACACGUACCGGUCGCUUCGCCUGCCGUCGCUGUUGCGACAGCCGUGAUACCUGCCUUCAUCAGCAACACGUCCCAAACCGACUAAGCGUCCCGGGCCACCGCGAUACUUCAUUUCCGAAAUCGCUGCGGUGGCAGCAGUUAUGCCUGCCUUGCUCCAAAUAUAUAGCACUGUGAGACGAGUAGCAAAUCAAGUUGAAGCCAUCGGAAAUUGUCAAACCUCUUUUUUCUCUCUCUUUUUGGUAUGUUUUGAGUCCAUUUUGGCUGGACCUAGAAAUAAUGGCUACGAGUUGGUCCACCCUGGCUUCCAACAUAUGAAACUUCUUGCAUCUUCGUUAAAUUGUGCUAAUAUAAUGUGUGUUUCAUUUUGUUUUGUCCUGCUACAGGGGUGAAGUCUAUGUGGGAACACUGAACCUGCAACCGAGACCGUAGCGAUUCGACAAUAUCACUAGAGGAUCAUACUUCUACUUAGGGAUGGCAAAUUUACCCGCGGGUUCGGAUAUCCGACCCAUCGGGUUCGGAUUCGGGUACGUAAUUUGAUCCACGGGUCUUGUCCGUACCCGACCCGUGAUACAAUCGGAUCGGGUACGGGUUUUAUCUCUUGCCCGUGGGUACCCGGUGGAUAUUCAAAAUUUGUGAUACAGCUUUUUAGCCCACCAAAAAAAUCAGCCCAAUGACCUACCUCAUCAGCCCACGGCGACACGAGUGCUGGGCUGCUGUCCCUUAGCGCAGGUACUGGCCUAGCUCGUCGCAAUUAUGAGUAGUGAGCUAGUAUGAUAUGAACGUGAACCAUAUGCAGCGUAAACCAGCUGGUGCAUCAUCAGUCGCUAGCUGAUAUUACUAAUAUAAUGAAAGCUUGUACAGACGCGAGCGAAAUAAAAUGGUGGGAGCUGAGAACACU
rnacentral:lncRNA from 1 species